CAACCGCCGCGGUAAUACGGAGGGUGCAAGCGUUAAUCGGAAUUACUGGGCGUAAAGCGCACGCAGGCGGUUUGUUAAGUCAGAUGUGAAAUCCCCGAGCUUAACUUGGGAACUGCAUUUGAAACUGGCAAGCUAGAGUCUUGUAGAGGGGGGUAGAAUUCCAGGUGUAGCGGUGAAAUGCGUAGAGAUCUGGAGGAAUACCGGUGGCGAAGGCGGCCCCCUGGACAAAGACUGACGCUCAGGUGCGAAAGCGUGGGGAGCAAACAGGAUUAGAUACCCCAGUAGUCCCUGUCUCUUAUAC
rnacentral:rRNA from 1 species